AUACUUUCCUGACAGGGGAGAUACCAUGAUCACAAAGGUGCUUUUCCCAGUGCAAGCCUUAACUAUUGUAUUCCAGAUGUGCUGACCCCUGAAAUUUCCCCAAAUGCGGAAAACUCAACUGCAUAAUUUGUGGUAGUGGGAGACUGUGUUCAUUGCACUGU